UACGUAGGGGGCAAGCGUUGUCCGGAAUCAUUGGGCGUAAAGAGCGUGUAGGCGGCUCGAUAAGUCCGUUCUGAAAGUCCAGGGCUCAACCCUGGGAUGCGGAUGGAUACUGUCGGGCUUGAGUACGGAAGAGGCGAGUGGAAUUCCUGGUGUAGCGGUGAAAUGCGCAGAUAUCAGGAGGAACACCAAUUGCGAAGGCAGCUCGCUGGGACGUUACUGACGCUGAGACGCGAAAGCUAGGGGAGCGAACGGG
rnacentral:rRNA from 1 species